GGGAGGUUCUAGAACAACCGGCCUGGCAGCCUGAUGCAGCAGAAAAACUUCUAAAGAUCCUGAGAAGAAAAGGCCCCAGACUGCUGGAGUUCAAAGUCCUGGCUGCAGUCUCCCAGGAGAGGUGGGCCCUCGCUUAUCACAGUUGAGGCCUGCCCCAAGGCCUCAGGUGCGAGGCCUCGCGCUAAGGCCACAGAAGCGGAGCCCAGAACCAAGGUCACCUCCGAAGCUGAUGGAGCCCUUUUGUAACCGCUGGUCAUCACUCACAAGCUUCCUGACUCCCAGUCAAGCAGCGAUGCCCGCUCCAGUAAACGCCCCUAUUGUGCCCCAACUGGUCGCCUAAUGCCAACCGUCCAGCGGGAAUUUUCUUUGUCUUCAGGCUCUAAAAACUGGCUAUUAACCCAUGAAAACUGUUGACUCCCCCUGGUCUGUCAGGCGUUAUUGGCCCACUGUGCCUGCACUGCCCACUUUAUCUCUCUGCUCUUGGCUCUUCAUAAACUCACUCCCUUCUGAAAUGCUCUGUGUCUGGAAAUUCUGUUCCAGCUUGCUCUUGGACUGCCUCAACACCUAUCUCUGGCCUCUGGGCCUCAGUUCCUUCAGGUGAAGGUGAAGGGUGAGGCCCUGGGGGUUCUGUAAAGACAUGAGAGGGAGUGGCAGGGAAGCUAGGAAGGGGGGGUCUCUGGGAAUCAGCCCCACAUCACCUGCUCACCUGGCAAACCUCGGCCCAUCCAUUAAGCCACCAUCCAGGCACCGUCUCCUCCUGGAAGCCUUCCAGACCUGUCCUAGACCUGCCUAAAGGCCUCCUCCGGGUGGUCACAGAUUACAAGCUAUCUCCUAUCUCCUCCUAUCACAAGCUAUCAAAGAAGUACCUUUGUAAUAGGAGAUAUUAUAGGAGAUACUACAAAGGUACACACCUUUGUAAUUGUCUACACGCUUAUUUACCUGUCAUCAAAGAAUAAGUAAGUGAAGUCGCUCAGUGGUGUCCAACUCUUUGCGACCCCAUGGACUGUAGCCUACCAGGCUCCUCUGUCCAUGCGAUUUUCCAGGCAAUAGUACUGGAGUGGAUUGCCAUUUUCUGCUCCAGGGGAUCUUCCCGAUCCAGGGAUCGAACCCGGGUCUCCCGCAUUGUAGACAGACACUUUACCGUCUAAGCCACCAGGGAAGUCAUCAAAGAAUACCUGAGUUGAAAUUUCAGUUCUGUUACUUCCCAGCUGUGUGACCCUAAGCAAGUGACCUAACCUCUCUGUGCUUCAGUUGGUACAUCCCUAAAACGGUAUCAGUAAACACAAAAUGUUUGUUACAUGCCACUCCCUGUCUUAUGUCCUCAAUUUCAUCUGCAAAACAUCUCUAUGAGACUGAUAUGAAAGGCAUUCAUUUCUACUUUAAACAAAUGAGAAAACUGGGAAUUCCCUGGCGGGCCAGUGGUUAAGACUCAGUGCUUUCAGUGCCAGGGUCCUGGCUCGGUUUGAGGACCUCUGGUCUGGUCAGGGAACCAAGAUCCAACAAGCUGUGUGGCGUGGUCAAAAAAAAAAAAAAAAAGAGAGAGAGAGAAAAAACUGAGGCACAGAGAGGUUAAGUACUUUGCCCAAAGUCACACAGCUUGUAAGUGGCAGGGCCCGUAGUACUCAAAUCAUGUAGUCCAAUUGCAAAGUGACUCGAUUACCUCUCAGAAGCUAUGUCAUUGGAUGUGGUGAGGGUGAUAUGAGUAAAUAAAGCUGCUUGGCACAUGGCAGGUACUCAAUGUUGGGAGUUGGAUGCUCAGUUGUGUUCGACUCUUUGCAACCCCGUG
ensembl:lncRNA